rnacentral:misc_RNA from 1 species
GAAGGAGGGUGCUAGCGUUGUUCGGAAUCACUGGGCGUAAAGGGCGCGUAGGCGGCUAUGGCAGUCGGGUGUGAAAGCCCGGAGCUCAACUCCGGAAUUGCACUCGAGACGCCAUGGCUGGAGGCCGGAAGAGGAGGGUGGAAUACCCAGUGUAGAGGUGAAAUUCGUAGAUAUUGGGUGGAACACCGGUGGCGAACGCGGCUCUCUGGUCCGGACGUGACGCUGAGGCGCGAAAGCGUCGGGAGCAAACAGG